AUUGCGUAAGUGUCCGGCUGAGGGCUCUCAGAGUAAUUCUUGCGUAAUAGACAGAGGUAGCUAUUUUUCCAACCGGUCUUACUGAAAAUACAGCUGCCCUGGUGGAUAUAUUAUCGAAUAGAUAUUUGAAAAACACCUUGAGGAUUGAUUAUAAACAACGUUUGCCAUGUUUCUGUCGAUAUUAUGGAGCUAAUUUGGAAUAUUUUUCGGAGUUGUCGUGACCGCAAUUUCCGGUCGAAUUCUCAGCCAAACGUGAAGAACUAACAGUUAUUUCGGUUACAAAAAUAAUAUUUUUGGAAAAAAGGAACAUUUGCUAUCUAACUGGGAGUCUCGUGAGUGAAAACAUCCGAAGCUCAUCAAAGGCUUUGCAGAGGAUAAGAAGAUGCAUGGAAACUCUAAAGAAACAUAAUUUAACUUGUGAGGCCAGAUUUGAAAAGGAAAUGAUAAAUCCCCAAGUUCAGAUGUCAGACACCGAGGCUGCCAGUACCUCUGAGGCCGC